rnacentral:rRNA from 1 species
UACGGGGGGGGCAAGCGUUGUUCGGAAUUACUGUGCGUAAAGGGCUCGUAGGUGGCCAACUAAGUCAGACGUGAAAUCCCUCGGCUUAACCGGGGAACUGCGUCUGAUACUGGAUGGCUUGAGUUUGGGAGAGGGACGCGGAAUUCCAGGUGUAGCGGUGAAAUGCGUAGAUAUCUGGAGGAACACCGGUGGCGAAGGCGGCGUCCUGGACCAACACUGACACUGAUGAGCGAAAGCCAGGGGAGCAAACGGG